CACCCCCCGGAUGAGCCACAGCUCCAUCCCAUGCCCCGCCCUGGCUGGGCAGCGCCUGCCCCUGCCCCACUCCCUCACCAUGGGGGGUGUUUAUCUGCCCCCCCCCCACACUCCUUCCCUCCCCCCGCCCCUUCCACAACAACAGACUAACCAGCUGGACGCAGCUGUAUCAGAAAUAGGAUUGGUAUCAGCCAAUCUCCUGCCUUAAAAAUUGACUAUCAUUAUCAACCCCCAAAAAUCACUAUCACUGCACCCCUAUUUGACAUCUCAUGGAAGUAAGCAUUAGACUUGCUAAUAAGCUUAUGCAGACCACCUGCUGUUCUACUUAAUUGCAGUGGUGUUUGAAGGUAUUUGUGAAAAUCAGUUUUAUUUAGGCUGCUGAAGAUGGAGUUGGCAUCCUGUCGGCUCUUGGAUCUGAAAAUGUUUAUUAUAGAUCAAGGGUUUCUUAGGAAGAAUUCUGUUUUAAUAAGGACAGUUCUCAGUGUUCCAGCAGCAGUACAUUUCCCAGCCAUGUCUUAGGAAGGAGGUAUUCAACCUUUGGCCCACCGACCAAAUCCAGCUUGUGAGGUCAUCAUCUGGCCCAGGGGGUCCCCACAGGUCUGAAAAUAUAGUGAUGGGAGAGCAGUGGCAGCAUUACUUGCAGCUCCCCUGCUGCCAAAUUUUUAGACAUGGAAGCACCAUGGGUUGGAUGACAUGGCCCUGUGCACUAGGGCCAAUCCAGCAUGCACAGCUGGGCCAAGCACAUGGCGCUGGACACAUGGAGUGACCCUGCAAGCCAGCUCCAGCCUGUAGACAGCCCCGUACCAUUCAUUCAGCCCACAGGACCAGCCAGUUAAGCACCACUGUCACAAUCAGUACUCUGCAUCCUGUGUGAUGUCAGUUUAUCAGAACUUCAUUGCAAAUUUUUGUAGCAUGUACAGAAGUGAUUUCUUACAUCUCUUAUAGAUUUUUUUUAAUAUAUCUUCCCAAAAAUACAGCUAGGAGACUUCUUUGGUUAUUACCAAUCAGACGCCAAGCUUCAGAAGUAUUUUAAUUGAGCGGGAGAGAGUGGGGGGCAUAUUUUUUUUCAGAGGACAAUUUGUCCAUCUGUAUUUAGUUAAAAAAGUAUUCAAUCAUUUUCCUAUACCUGCUGAAACAGUGAAAAUAAUCAUAAACAAAAAAACUUUAUAAAUGAUCUGGGUAUAGCAUCUUUUUCAAGCAUCUAUGAGCUAUGAAACAGGGUUGUAAGAGUGAAUAGGAUUGUUAUCCCAAACACAAACAUGGAAAUAUGACAAAUUAAAAGUAAAAUUGGAAGCUGUCUUUCUGAGAGAUACAAAUUAUAAUUUGAAUAUGAACUUGCCCUGAGGUGCAGGUCCUGUUUGUUUUUUUCCAUAACUCUUCCAGUUAUGAAUCAAAAUGGUAAACUGUAUUUCCUCAAUUUUAUCUGCCUGCCUGUCUGAGCUGUGCGGAAGCCCAGUGCUUCCCUCCACGGCUGGGGAGGGGGCGAGUGCUUCCCUCUGCAGCUGUGGCAACCCCCAGGACCGCUGGGAUUGGGAGCCAGCAAAUGGGUGCCACUCGGCCUGCUGGCAGCUCAGUCCCUCCCCCAGCACCGAAGAGGCAGGUAAGGAUCAGGCUCCCCCUUGUGUACAUGCCACGAGGGUUUAGCUCAAUUUAAUUCUUCCUAAAUUGAAGCAGGGUUUUUAAAAACCCACCAUUUCAAUUUAGGGAGAACUAAGCCGAAUUAAACCCCUGUGGUGUGUACAAGCAGCCUGAGAUUCGAAGUAUGGUUACGUUACAUUUUAAUGACUCUUCCUAAAAGAGACUGACAUUGAGCAAACCUAUUUUCAGUGACUUCCUAGAGAACUGCUAGCUUCUUCAUCUCUUUUUGCAACAUGGCUUCCUUCCCUUCCCCCAUCCCCUCUUCUCAGUUCCUGUGGACGUGCCCUCGAUCAGGUAGCUUUCCUACCAUGUUUUGCCUUAUCCCCCUACAAGACUCUUGAUCCCAUUACUUCAUCUCCCAGUUCCUGGGUCCUAAAUCAAAGGAGAUUGGUAGCUGCUUGCCAGGAGAUAUUAGAGGACAAGCAGAGAAUUUUGUUUGGUUUUUAAGGGUUUGGUUCUAAAGAUGCAAUCACUGAUGACUGCAUUUGUGGAUGUACUGGAAAGCCUGGGGAUCCAAUAAAGAGAAGCGAUUGAGGAAGAUAUUAGAGGGAUCUAAAUUUUAGCUACUGACCUCUGUAGUGCUGUGGUAUGUGACAGCAUUCCUUAGCACAAAUAAUUCCACCCACACGCAAUCCUUUUAGCUAAAUCUAGGAAGCUGAAGAAAAAUGCAAGUUCCCCUUGGUGAGGCAGGCCAAGGAGGGACAGAUGAAACCACAGGGAGGUUUGAAGAGGAACCCUGGUUAGGAAGCAAAAUUAGGAGUUGCUUGGGCAGCAGUGGUGUGGGACUCCCCAAACAGCUCCUUGCCAGAUGGGCUCCCAUUUCCAAGCCUGGCCUCGUGGCACGUGGGGAUGCUGCAAGACCUCUCCCAGUGACCAACUACCAACACUGCCAAGGGACACCAGGAAGCUUGGGAAGAGACCUAGCUACCUGCUGCCAGGCCCAUCAUGUACGAGCCAGUAAGAGGUUGUGAGUCAGGCAGCUCUUGUUAUGUGCGUAAGCUUGAGUAGUAGCCACGGCUGCUGACACUGUAAAGAUGGAGGUGGGAUUGUGGGGGGGAGGAUCAUUUUUGGUAUGGUUUGAAGCCAACAUCCUGCAGCAGGAAGUGCAGGCUCCUCUCAAGGAUAUGUCUCACUCUUGGGGUGGGGUGGGUGGCAUCUAUGCCUUUCUGUCUUUAGUCUUUGAAAUACUGGGCAGCUGACAUUCACUGUAUGGACUGUGGCAGAACUGUCCCCUCUGUCCAGGUUAGGUCCCCACUGUCCAUGAUGGGAUUCUUGUGUACUCUCCAGCCCCUGGCAGUGGGUGCUGUUGGGGUGGGAUGUGAGAUACACUGGACUAUAUAGCGAAGGGGCUGCAGUGGGGUAGGGGAUAAGCCUGGCUAAAUUGGUAGGGUGGGGCAGGAAGUGAGCUCAUAGAGAUGCAUUGGCAGGCAUUGGGCAGAGGGAUAGUGACCUCACUAAGGGCUGACAUCAGCCUGUAGGGGCAAGCUCCAGCACCCCAGGCCAGAGGCUCAGACCUGAACAGACCUUCAUGGUUCCGGGUCCCUGUGGCUGAGGCUGAUACAGGUGAGAGAGAAUCUGAUUCCUAUUUGUGGUCCCAGGGCCACCUCUGAUCUGUCCAUCCCUCCUUGCCUGCCCCAUAGGUGCCACCGCCAGAAACUCUUGGGUUUCGGGCAAGUGUUGCAGUUGGGCUCCUCUCUGCCUGGCCCCCAUCACCCUUCCUCAUGGUUAAUGAGUUCAGGGUUGUGGACCUUCUCAAUUACAGUCUGUAAUUCACACCUGGCUCACAGAGCUCUAGCAUACAACACCACAGUAGUAACUUUCAUGUAAAAAAGCCAGUUGUGAGCUCUGCAAAAUCUCAGCCAGUUCAGCCCCCCUGAAAUGUUUGGGCUCAAGACAAAAUACCCAGUUGUACCCCUUUGGGGGGUACUCUGAUACCCACAUCCCCUUGCAGCUCUUUCUGUCUGCCAAGCUGUCUGUCACUCUGGCUUGGGUGCUUCUGCACUGAAAACAAAGGUGCUGCUCCAGGUCUCAGCCACUGGGGAUCAAGCACAGACUGCUGCAGACCCAACAAGAGCUCCUCCCACCACUCUUCUGAUUCCACAGGGGCCUUUCCUGCCUCUUCCUCCCACCAUUUCCCUGUUUCUACAGGGCAGCUGAGCUGUGCCUGAAGGGAGCCAGCAAAGGACUGGGAUUUUCAUCAGGUUCCUUCCAGGGAGGGCUCAGGUGGGUGGCAGAGAUGCAGGGUCAGGAAGGGGAAGGUGAGGCAGGAGGAGAGGUUUGAGGAAGAUAAGAAUGGGGCUAAGGACAUCGUGUUUCCAUGCCUGAUAAAGGCAGUGCAAGCAAGAAGCAAGGGUGAAUUUGUGGGUUGUCAUUUAUUGGACCAGGUGUAAAAUUUGGGGGAGACAUUAGCCAAGGGCACUGAAGAGGGGUACCUGGUGCUCAGAAACUUCGCUAAUUGGGCAAAAAGAUUGUGGCUGAGAGAAAAACACAACAGAAAAAGUAGAAAUUUGAAGUGGGGAAUUCUUUCCCAACUACACAGUUGAUCCAAGAGAAGAUGUCACUAAAAUAAUCUCAAGUCUUGAUUAUGGCUUGGACCAUUAUGACUACAAUACCCAAACCCUACUGCAAGGAAGGCUAUGGCUUUUAUUCAAAUGAGAUAGACACAGACAAUCAGGGGGCAAAGCAUUUUAUGCAUGGUUGUUUUUGUAGCAAAGCCCAGGACAUGACCCCCAGGCCUGCAAGUAGUUUACACCCAACAUUUAGGUCUAUUUUAAAAUGUACUGUUCAUUGUGUAAGGUAAUCAGCAGCCUAGAUCUGUGCCAGUGGCUGUUUGUAGGAACAAACCAGAUGCAAGAGGAUAAUUUCAGGAUGCGGAAUUGUACCUGCAAGAAGAGUGAGCCAUGGCUUGGCUGAGAAACUGAACCCCCAAAUCCAUGGCUCACAAAAAGUGGAGCUAACAGGACUCUGUGGCAUAGGUGUCAAGACACGGUGCUUUGCAGUCGGUGAUUCUGAGCAGGUUGCUGGGUGCAGGAAGAGACAGUCUGUUGAAUGCUGUUGUGUUGCUCUCAUCACAGCCCAUAGCCAGCAGUCUUUCUGCUGACAAGUAAAACCGGAGAGGGGUGGGAGCUGAAUAAGUUGGGAAAAUAAUAGUGUGGGUGCUACAUAGAGAGGGAUUUAGCUCAAUGUGAAUAAAGGGGAGUGGUAUCUGACAGGAAAGAAGGAAGCAGCAGAAAGAUUGUCAUACCUGUCUUACAUAGGAAAACACACAAUUUAUUUCUUUCGGGUAAAACAAGACACAUUUGUGAUCCUUAGGUAUUAAAGAAAAAAAGAUACAUCACUUUGGAUGAAAAUGGGAGAAGAUACUCCCAAGGAAUCAAAGAAUGACGGAGGAAAAGCAGGAGGGAAGAAAACUAAGAAGAGAUUCGUGCUGCCAUACACCAGGCGUGGGAUACAGAAGAUUCUUUUGACAUGUCUGAGGUGGAAUCAGCCUCAGAAGAUGGUGAAGUGAAAGAUCCCUUCUUACCAGUGGAAGCAGGAAUUGAUAUAGGUAUGUAUGGGGAAGUGACACCAUGGGUAAAUUAGGUGCUGUACCUAUGGUCACAAAGCAAAUCUGUGGCCAAGCCCGGGACUGACACUAGGCCUCCUGAAUCUCCAUUCAUUGACCUACCCAGAGACCAUCAUUGCUGCUCUGUCUAACACUUUACAUGCAGCAUUCCAGUAGAGAGAGAGUUUCUUGUCUUCAAGCACUAAAUUGUACAGAGCUGAGUCACAGUAGAAGAUCCAGCCACGUUGGAUAUCAGUACCCCACCUUAACACACACCUACAUUUUGAGUACCUGCAAUGCCUGAGUGGUUACACGACUGGACUGGAAAUCCAAAUGCAUUUCCCUGUACAGAAUCAAAUCCUGUCCACAGGAGGGCCUUGUCUCUUGAGGAAGGUAGGACUAAAUGACCUUUUGAGACCGUUGAUUUAUUCUUCUGUAUUAUAAGACAUUUCUCUUUUCUCCACAGCAGCAGCUGCCAGUGUUCCAAGAAAAUGAUCUUCAUUUUUUAAGAAGAUACCACACGCUCUGUCCAGAGCAUUCUCUUUUCUCUCAGCUUGCCUAACUUGCCACAGAGAGUUUCGGAAAGUCGCGCCAGAGACGAUACACAUGUGCUAAAUUGGUUUAGGAAAAAAUAGGAAAAAUAUAAAUAGUUUUAGGAAAACA